rnacentral:pre_miRNA from 1 species
AAUGUACUCCCUCCAUUCGGAAUUACUUGUCGCAGAAAUGAAUGUACCUAGAUGUAUUUUAGUUCUAGAUACAUCCAUUUUCGAGACAAGUAAUUCCGAAUGGAGGGAGUACAUA